rnacentral:rRNA from 1 species
AACGAACGCUGGCGGCAUGCCUAACACAUGCAAGUCGAACGAGACCUUCGGGUCUAGUGGCGCACGGGUGCGUAACGCGUGGGAACCUGCCCUUAGGUUCGGAAUAACUCCCCGAAAGGGGUGCUAAUACCGGAUAAUUUCUUCGGACCAAAGAUUUAUCGCCUUUGGAUGGGCCCGCGUUGGAUUAGCUAGUUGGUAGUGUAAAAGCCUACCAAGGCGACGAUCCAUAGCUGGUCUGAGAGGAUGAUCAGCCACACUGGGACUGAGACACGGCCCAGACUCCUACGGGAGGCAGCAGUGGGGAAUAUUGGAAAAUGGGCGAAAGCAUGAUCCAGCAAUGCCGCGUGAGUGAUGAAGGCCUUAGGGUUGUAAAGCUCUUUUACCCGGGAUGAUAAUGACAGUACCGGGAGAAUAAGCUCCGGCUAACUCCGUG